GAUGAACGCUAGCUACAGGCUUAACACAUGCAAGUCGAGGGGAAACGGCAUCGAAAGCUUGCUUUUGACGGGCGUCGACCGGCGCACGGGUGAGUAACGCGUAUCCAACCUGCCCAUCACUUGGGAAUAACCUUGCGAAAGUAAGACUAAUGCCCAAUGACAUCCCACGAAGGCAUCCGAAUGGGAUUAAAGAUUUAUCGGUGAUGGAUGGGGAUGCGUCUGAUUAGCUUGUUGGCGGGGUGACGGCCCACCAAGGCAACGAUCAGUAGGGGUUCUGAGAGGAAGGUCCCCCACAUUGGAACUGAGACACGGUCCAAACUCCUACGGGAGGCAGCAGUGAGGAAUAUUGGUCAAUGGGCGAGAGCCUGAACCAGCCAAGUAGCGUGCAGGAUGACGGCCCUAUGGGUUGUAAACUGCUUUUAUAAGGGAAUAAAGUGGGUCACGUGUGACUUUUUGCAUGUACCUUAUGAAUAAGGACCGGCUAAUUCCGUG
rnacentral:rRNA from 1 species